GUGAGGUAAUGGCUCACCAAGGCAUCGACGGGUAGCUGGUCUGAGAGGACGAUCAGCCACACUGGGACUGAGACACGGUCCAGACUCCUACGGGAGGCAGCAGUAGGGAAUCUUGCACAAUGGGCGAAAGCCUGAUGCAGCGACGCCGCGUGGGGGAUGAAGGCCUUCGGGUUGUAAACCCCUUUCAGUAGGGACGAAAAUGACGGUACCUACAGAAGAAGCUCCGGCCAACUACGUGCCAGCAGCCGCGGUAACACGUAGGGAGCAAGCGUUGUCCGGAUUUAUUGGGCGUAAAGAGCUCGUAGGUGGUUCGGUAAGUCGGAUGUGAAAACCCAAGGCUCAGCCUUGAGACGCCAUCCGAUACUGCUGUGACUUGAGUUCGGUAGAGGAGUGUGGAAUUCCUGGUGUAGCGGUGAAAUGCGCAGAUAUCAGGAGGAACACCGACAGCGAAGGCAGCACUCUGGGCCGAUACUGACACUGAGGAGCGAAAGCAUGGGGAGCAAACAGGAUUAGAUACCCUGGUAGUCCAUGCCGUAAACGUUGGGCACUAGGUGUGGGGAUUUAUCAACGAUCUCCGCGCCGUCGCUAACGCAUUAAGUG
rnacentral:rRNA from 1 species